UCCCGGAGCAAAUCCGGUACUGUUCAAGUCUAUGCUGGUCCCCACAGGUCUCUGGAAUCUGGAUGUUCACCCUUGGCAAACACCAUUCAUCAAUUUUCCAUUCAACAUAACUGUCCAUGUACAGAAUCUUAUACUUCAUGUUGUUCAAUAUCGAGUACUUAGAAUAUCAUUUUUGUCCAUGCAAUCCUGGUCUAAACUUAAUGGAACAAAAAGAAUAAAAAACCUCACAACAGCAAAGAAAAAGUAGAACAUGGAAUCAGUAGUGUGAAGAAACAAGUAUAUUUGCUCCUUAAGAUGUGACAGGUUUAAUUCCAGGAACAAUAUCCAUGCCAACAUCUACAAUUAUUUGUUCUAUCAUUGUACAAAUCUGGAAGUGUAAGUGGAAAAAGAAGCCACAGGAAGGAAACAACUCCAGCUACAAAUGCCAGACUCACUAUCCCUGAAACAAUGACAAUCUACAAGUAAAAUUCAACAUAAUAUAUUGGGGAUAUAUGAAGUUCAAAGAAUUUAACUAGGAGAAACAGUCUGUUAAGAAACAAAGAGAUCAUCAAACAAAGCUGGAGGACUUUCGCAAAAGAAAUGAGUAAACACAUGUCAACAGCCACUUGCAAUAUAUAGAUAUAAGAAGCAACCUCAUAAAAUAAAGCAAGUAGAUCUGUUUUAAGACUUCUGUUUUCCAGUUGCUCUUUUUUUUUAAAUACCUUUUUUUUAGCAGUUUUUAAGAGAAUGAGAACUUCUGAAAUAAAAUAAAAAAUGAAUAGUAUUGAGAGCAGUGACUCGAUUAAUGAAUAAGUUUUGAAAAAUCUUGCCCUGGCAAAUUGCCUCCCUUCUAAAAAAUCUGUAACAAAUGAUAUUUAUGUCUUCAAUUUUACUCACAUACCUUUACUCCUUGCAAAAAGCACAGGCAAUCCCAUAAAAUUGCAAAAUAUAUGAGCAACUAAUGGAGCUAGAAGAUGCCCUGUUCGAAUGAAAAGAAAAGAAGCAUAUGAGCCAAAAAUCACAGUGUAGCCAAGCUGAAGACCUACAACCAUGGCGGCCUUAAGCAUACUGUAGUUAUGCCUGACAUAGAUCUCCAUCCAAUGGUUUAAAUGUGCUGUACAAUAAUGAUUAUAGUCAGCAAGACUGCUUCACAAAAAAUCCACCUUUGUAUCAGACACGGCAUACAAUUAGCAACAAAAUGCUCAAUGCAUCCAUCAGAAGCUGAAAUCAAAACUCUAAAAAUGGGAACUGUAUGUUAGAUUGAGAACAUGAAUACUUAACAAAGGAACCAAAAUAUUAUUUUCCAACAACGCAUCAAUAAACACAAAGAAUUAGACAGAAAAGUAUGCAGAAGGAGAAGAAGGUAUGAAGGACAUAUACAUGUAUUUGCUAAUACAUAUUAAUAGAGAAGAAGGUAUGAAGGAAAUAUACAUGUAUUUGCUAAUACUUAUUAACUUACCCAAGCUGAAAAGAAUAGGGCAGAGAAAAAAGACACUGUAGAUCUUGAAUCCUCCACACAGAAGUAAAGGUAUCAUACAUGCUCUAAACACCAAUUCCUCUGUUAAUGGAGCCACUACAUAAUUGCGCCACGCCAGAACAUUAGAAGAAGUUGAAGACAUCCAAGCAAUGAAGUUUUGCAUGAGAUUUUUGAUGUAGCCAAAUGAAAAUCCUCCACACUCAUUCAAAUGCUCCUUCCAUGACUCCACCAAUAACAAUGACUUGAGGCAAAAAGAUCCAGCGUACAUUAAAGAAGUCAAGGAAAUAGGAAAGACCACCGCUUGCCACUGUUUCAUACAUAAAAUUGCAUUUCAACAUGCAAAUUUAGCAAUCAGUCACCCUUUUCCAAUCUGCAGAUCAUACAAGAAUGAAAAGCGAAAAUUACCAUAUGCAACUAAAACAAAAGACCAAUAUGUUCGAAGCAUGAUACUCACAAUAUGGUCAAACCGGAUUCCAUAAACGCCAAGCAAAUGAGAUGCUUCCCUGCUACUCAUAGGAAGGAUAAGAGAGCAGAAAACAAUAGACACAAUCGAAGAAAUGGCGGCGCAUACGAACCGUCGGAUCAUGAAUUCCUUGAGAGAGGACGGAGGUGGGAGCCGUAAGAUCAAACUGGGAGCAUAAAGAAUCGCCACAUAAAACAAAGUCAUGGCCGCGCAGGCUAUCACCGCCGCGGAUUCUGACAAUCCGGUUUCUUGCUCCAUUUUCUUCGAAUUCUCGAACCCUAGACAGUGAAGCAGAG
rnacentral:misc_RNA from 1 species